UAAAUAUAAAGCGCCAGAACUCUUAUGAGUUGACGAGGAUGGGGAGUAUCGAAUUCUUCGGCGGGUGCCCCACGGUAUCGCACUACCGUUAGCGACUAGUAAAACUAUGAAGCGAUUUGUAGGACAG
rnacentral:ncRNA from 2 species